rnacentral:rRNA from 1 species
ACCUACGGGGGGCAGCAGUAGGGAAUCUUCCACAAUGGACGAAAGUCUGAUCCAGCUAUUCCGCGUGUGGGAUGAAGGCCCUCGGGUUGUAAACCACUUUUGUAGAGAACGAAAAGACACCUUCGAAUAAAGGGUGUUGCUGACGGUACUCUAAGAAUAAGCACCGGCUAACUACGUGCCAGCAGCCGCGGUAAUACGUAGGGUGCGAGCGUUAAUCGGAAUUACUGGGCGUAAAGGGUGCGCAGGCGGUUGAGUAAGACAGAUGUGCAAUCCCCGAGCUUAACUCGGGAAUGGCAUAUGUGACU